ensembl:lncRNA
AUGGUGGCCUGCAGCGGCCAAGAAGCCAAAAAAAAUUUUUUUUUUUCAGAUACUGUGUUUGAUUUUUGGAGAGGGGAGAGGUGGAAAUUCCUAAAUGGCUAAUGCACUGUUCCCUCCAGCCCGAAUGCCUCCUGCCGAACCCCUUUGCCUCCGUCCCCCCAUCCCUGUUCUCCUCUGGGUCCAUAACACUUUUUCCGAGGAUGAACAGGGGACAUCUUUAGGUUUUUCAACUCUUGCUUUGGUGUUUGCUGCAGCAUGGAAAACAGAGCGCCUAAGGCUGGGAGCCAGAAGAAGGGGCAUUGGGUACCCAGGCAGAGUCGGGAGAGGUGGUCUUCGAAGUUAAGUUAGCAGAAAUAAAGGGGACGCCCGCCUACCUGGGCUGGGGAGGGAUUUGAAGAUAGUUCAUGACUCUCUCCUGCUCUGCCUUCCCGCCUUCCUAUCUGCUUUUUCCAGUAAACUGCAUGGCGUCCUUCCCUGGCCCUCUCUUGGCUCAAAGGCUGGGAGGGAGGAAAGGAGAGAAGAGUUCUAGGCAAUCCCAUCAAGGUAGUCCCUACUCCUGGGGCUGUGGCCCACAUGUCUUCACGGAGGCUUCCAGCUCUGCCUGCCACUGAGGCAGGCGCGUUCCCAGGACCAUCACCAGGAAUGUGAGGCCACCCUGGGUCAGAGGUAGGAGCCCGAGGUCCAGCCUUUGCUCUUUGAUUGUGGGCAGCCUCCUGCCCUCUCUGGGUCUCAGUUGCCCCAUCUGCAGAGCGAGGAGGCCUGGGCUGGUUGGUCUUGAAGGCCCUUUUCCAUGCUGACAUGAAGGAGUCCUUGCCCAGGGAAGGCUUGAGGUGAGAAGCAGCUUCUCAGACUGUCAGGGCCAGGCCUGGGUCUAGAAUUCUUGCUGCUGCUUUGCAAAGUCAACAGCCUAUCAUCCCAUGUUUUAGAGGGGACACUUUGGUCCUCGGUUCCCACCCUCAGCAAGCAGGUCUCCAGCCCGAGGAAGGCCUCUGCUGGAGCGACAUUGCUAUGUGGGGCUGCGUGGCUGUUCCCCUUGGCUGGAGCAUUCAGCCAACCCCAGCAUCACCCCUGAGGCAUUUAUUGGCAGCCCUCUAGGGCUGCAUGCUGGCUCGACCGUAACCCCCCUCCCCCACCAACAUCCUGCAGGGAUGGGGUCAGUGCUUCCACCUUCACAGGCCACUUUGAAGGGUGGAUUCUUUGAGGCCCCUGCCGGUCGGCUCCCUGCUCAGCCACUGGCCUGGGCUACCUGGGACUCAGCACCAAUGGCUGAAGUUUCUCAGCCAGGCUCUGACCUGGGGUCUGGGGCAGGGGAUGAACAUGGUGAUUCGGGGCUGAGAGGAUGAAGGAGGACUUUCCCAGGUCAAAUUACUUUUCUUUGGCCUCUGCCUGAGGCUUGAUUUGCCUCUCUGGUCCAAUGGGACUGACACUGUUGUACAGCUUGGCCUGUGGCUGAGGGUGUCUGGGGUUAAGCAUGUGGACCCCUUCGGUGUGUCCGGCCUUCCUCCAUCAUCCUGCCCUUUGGCCUUUUGGUUUGAAGCCACAAGUGUGGCUUCUGACCUUAGCAGACGGUAUCCUUGCCGACCGCAGCCCAGCGUGCUGGUGGGUCCCCACCCCGAGCCAGCCCAGAACUGUCGGAAGGGCCACCCUUCCCGGCCCUGGCAGGGUGCUGGACACUGGCCAUUUUCACUGGAGGUUGCCCGGCAGGGACCGAUCUCUGCCCCUUCCUCUCCCCAGGCCUCUAGCUGCAGUGAUGCUGCAGAAUCCUAAGCCAGGUGCCUCCUGAGCAGCCCGUGUGCCUCUCCACAGCGGCGUUUGCCACCCAAUGCGGCUCCCUUCAGAUGCUCUGAUGCAGAGGGCACGCCCGUAGUCCCUCUGCAGAGCCUCACACUGGGGCCAGGGCAGGCACCAGCCCCAGGCAGCCAGUCGACCACGGCCUGGCGUCUUCCUCGUAGCGUCUGUUCCUCACUUUGUGUUGAUGCUGACUUAGAAGAAUGUUCCGAUUUUCCAUGAUCUAAGCAGGCCACGUUUAAAAUAACAUCAAGGCAAGCGUACGUGUCAUCCUCUGUACUGACAUCUCUUCCCCUGAAAUGCUUUUCAAUUUGACAGCCCAUUUCCUAGACAAGUGCACCUGGGGUUUCAGGAACUUUGUCUCUUUUGGGAGGGGGUUGGUGGGGAGGUCAGGAUGCCUGGGAUCCCUUCCUGGAGAGUCAGCUUCUCUCUGGAAAAAGCCUCCAUUGCCCACCCGCCAGGCAGAAAGUCACCGUGUCCCCAGCGCGGUUUCAGCGUUUGAUUUUAAGAGAUCUAAGGAAGCGCGGCGCGCCCCCUGGUGCUGGUAAGCCGCCAACGCACCUGGGGCUGCAACCCCACUGGACGGGUGGUCCGGAGGGAGGCUGGAGUGGGGAGGUGAGGAGGGAGCUGUGAGUCCUCAGAGGCUGUGGGCCACCACAUUUCUGGCAGCGUUUCCCAGACACCCCUCUGCUAGGCCAUCCCUGGAUAGCAAGUGAAUUAACUUAAGGGCACUGUGAUGGGAAGCCUUGCCCCCCCCUCUUUUUUUUUUUUUUUUUUAAAUAUCUGCGGAAUAAACCCAAUGGUUAAUUUUUGAAUGAAUAAAAGGCUUUUGUUGAA